rnacentral:lncRNA from 1 species
UAGAAAUAAAUCAGUCCCCUGAUCACCUUCAGAGGUGACUUAGGCAUGUUUUAUGUGUGUAUGUAUUUAUAUUUCAUUUCUUUCUUUCCUGUCUUUUUGGACCACCCCCACGGCAUAUGGAGAUUCCCAGGCUAGGGGUCAAAUUGGAUCUGUAGCCGCUGGCCUACACCACAGCCACAGUAACUCGGGAUCUGAGCCACCUUUGCAACCUACACCACAGCUCAUGGCAACACUAGAACCUUAACCCACUGAGUGAGGCCAGGGAUCGAACCUGCGUCUUCAUGGAUACUAGUCAGAUUCAUUUCUGCUGAGACACUAUGGGAACUCCAGAUGUUUCAUUUUUUUAAUGUAAUUUUUAUUUUUCCCAUUUUAGCCGAUUUACAGUGUUCUGUCACUUUUCUGCUACACAGCAAGGUGACCCAGUCACGCAUACAUGUAUACAUUCUUUUUUUUCCUCACAUUAUCAUGCUCCUUCACAAGUGACCAGACAUAGUUCCCAGUGCCGUACAGCAGGAUCCCAUUGAUUAUCCAUUCCAAAGGCUGUAGUUUGCAUCUAUUAACCACAAACUCCCAGUCCCUCCCCCUCGGCACCCACAAGUCUUUUCUCCAAGUCCAUGAUUUUCUUUUCUGUGGAAAGGUUCAUUUGUGCCAUAUAUUAGAUUCCAGAUAUAAGUGAAAUCAUAUGGUAUUUGUCUUUCUCUUUCUGACUUACUUCACUUAGUAUGUUUCAUUUCUUUUCUUUCCUUUUUUUUUUUUUUUUUGGUCUUUUUUUCCUUUUCUAGGGCUGCACCCAUGGCAUAUGGAGGUUCUCAGGCUAGGGGUCUAAUUGGAGCUACAGCUGCCAGCCAACGCCAGAGCCACAGCAACCCAGGAUCCGAGCCACGUCUGCGACUUAUACCACAGCUCACAGCAAUGCUGGAUCCUUAACCCAGUGAGUGAGGCCAGGGAUCAAACCAGCAACCUCAUGGUUCCUAGUCAGAUUCGUUAACCACUGAGCCACGAUAAGAACUCCCAGUAUGUUUCAUUUCUUAUUGUAGCUCCAGUUGUCUCAGUUUCGACUAGCCGCCACCUCUUCAAACUUUUAUCCUGAGUCCUUUACACAUGAGCCUCAUUAUCUUUGGUACCUUCCUUACUGUUCAGUCUGAUUUUCCAGCCUAUCUUUUAUCCUGCCCAAGACCUGGAAUCAGCCAUUCCUCCAGGAAGCCCUGCUUUUUAUUUUUUAUCUCUCUCUUUUUUAAUUUUUUUUUGUGGUAUAUGCUAUGCAAGAUCAUGUCCAGAAGUUAGAGAUGUUCAUUGCUACUGGGUUGCAAAUGUUCAUGGUCCUUUUCAUACUGACAUUUUAUUUCCAAAUAACUUGAAACUCAGAGAAGUUGCAGAAUGGUAGAGUUCCUUUAUAUCUUUCAUCCAGACUUCCCUAAGUAAACAUCUUAAAUAACCAUAGUGCAGUAAUCAAAACGAGGAAAUUAGUAUUGCUACACUGUUAUUAUUAAAUUAUACACUGUGUUUAGGGAUGAUUUGUAAAAGCUUGAUUAUAGCUGUGCCUUUAGUCUCCAAGUCCUUUUUUUCUGGGUAUUAACUUUAGUGGUUCUUAACCAGUAAGAUUUCUCAGAGUCACCUGAGAACUUCUGAAAAUCCAGUACCUGAAAUCUUUUUUCCCCUCUUUCAGAAUUGUUCAGAACCUCAAGAUGGGGAUAAGACUAUAUGGUGUCAGUUGAAGUAUUUAGGGAUUUUGCUAGAAUCCCAUCUGCUCCAACAGCUUAGUGGAUGGAAUCAAUUGAGGAGAGAAGCAAUUAUAUUUUGCUCCCAACUGGUGAUAAUGACCCCCUUAGACUCCAAGAUAAAAAAUAUUCUGUCUUAAAAUGAGUCAAGUUUGCUGCUUCCAGUGCCAGAGAUUCCUGUUAUACUUAGAAUUGUCCUUCCAUAUUUAUUAACUCAUUCCAGAAAUGUUGGUUGAGCACCUUCUGUGUGCCAGGCACUGGGGAUACAGCAGUGAAAAAACACAAGCAGAGUCUGGUCUCUGCAUUCGUGGAUGUACUUGGAUAUUGGAAAAUGCGAACAACUUAACAGAGUGCAGUGACUGUUAUUUUAGGAGGAUUGCAGGGCACUACGAAUACAUACAGCUGGCAGACCUCACGUAGUGUAGGGAUCAGCGAAAAUCUUCCUGGCAAGGUUGUAUUCAGGCUAAGUCAGGUAGAAGUUAGCUCCACAGAGGCAGAGGGAACAUGCUUAGUUUCUGAACAUACCCUGGGGCUCCAGCUGGGGAGAAGUCCUCCUAUCUCACUGGAGAAAAAUGUGCAAGACCAAGGAAGAGAAAAAUAGAAAGGUGAGCACUAGUCUUCACUGGGCCUUCUCAAAGCAGUCAAGCUUUCAUAGAAAUAGGAACUCUCAUUCUCAAUCACAUAUCAUCCAGUUUCCAUACCAUCUGAGCUACAUAAUUAAAGUACCCAAAAUAAAAGUGACACAAAGUGGUUUGUGCAAAAAUAAACCGUGUGAAGUGUGAGUCUGAUUUGGUGGGAGCAGAAAUGAUGGCUAGAGAAUGACUUCGCAAACAUAGGUGAGCCUGCCAUGGGACCAGUCAGCAUUUCAUACAGCAGGAAUUGAGAAUUUGUGGUUUAUCUGGCAAAGUCCGUUGGGCAGAGGUCAGUUAAGCCAACAGCAACUGUAGUUAUAGUGUGGGGGCUUGAUGAGCUCAUUGAAAGGAAUGAGAAAACGAAGAGGGCCAAGGUUAGAACCUUAGGGACCACUUUCGCAAUCAAGGGAAAGAGAGAGGAUAACAAACUAGUUGAAAGCAAGUUUUACAGGAGCCUCACUUUUUAGAUUUUGAGGCCUUUAAAUCUGACCUUUCUACUUAGACACUGAGCAGUCUUGCAACUUUUUUUUUUUAACUUUUAUUUUUUUUGUCACUCCCAGGGCGUGUAAGUUCCCAGGAUCGAACCUGCACUGCAGCACUGCUGCAGUGACAACGCUGGAUCCUUAACUGACUGCGUCUCAAGAGAAUUCCUUUGCAAUUUUAUUUUUGUUUAAUCAGGCGUUUUGCACUUAUUUGCCAUUGAAGGCUUUUUUUGGUUUGUUUUUUAACUUAGCUAAUUCAUAUUCUGUGUCCUGUAGAAAAAACAGGAACCUUCUUUUGGAAAUGCAGCUGUAGGCAGAAGGGAGCAACCAAAGGGAUUUGGGCAGGCAGACUUUGCCUCGCUGAGGUUUCAGAUUCUUACAGUGGUCCUCUGGGGACAGGAUUCCAGAAGCGAGUGAGAUAGGAUGUUUGGGAGACCAGCUUGAGCCCAGGAGAAAGCUAACGGGAGCCUCAGUAUAGGCAGUGACAGUGGGAAUGACAAAGAGACGGGUCACUAUAGAUUUUAGUUGAAGUGCCAGGAAUUGGUAACUGGAUGUGAGAGGAAGGAAGAGGGUAGGGAGUCUGGUGACUGGUUUUUGUUUGCGUGGCCAAGAGAAUGAAUGGUGCUGCUUAUGCAGAUGCCGUGAUACAGAGCUGGGGCCAGUGGUGAAAGGGAAGAUGAGUUCCAUUUUGGA